CAACCUCAAGUCUCGUCGUCGACGUCGCACCUCCCAACUCUCUCGUUGUCGUCUCCUUCUCUUCUUCCUCGUCAUCGAACCCGCGUUCUUCUCGUCGUCCCCGCGUAUCCUUCCUCGUCGUCGUCUCCAUUCCCUCCUUCGUUCUCGUCGUCCGACCCCAAGUCUCUUCUAAUCCUCGUCGUUGAUCGUCACAACCCAAGUCUCUUCUUCACCGUCGUUGUUCAAUUCCAAGACUCGUCGUCGUUCCAAUCCUUUUCUCCUUCUUCGUGUCGUCGUCCUCAACACACUCUCUCUCCUCGUCGUUCCUCUACCUACCCGCCGCCGCACUCCACUACUCCGCCGCGACACCUACCGCCACCUACCUACCGCGUCCACUACCUACCUCCGCGUCCCGCUACCACCUCCACAACCACCGCGCGACCCCACGCCACCACGACCACUACCUACCGCGCGGCGGUGCGGCCGGACCGGCGCCGCCGCCGGCCUACACCUCUUCCUCCCUACUCCCUCUCUCUACACACGAUCCGAGUUUCCCCUUGCUUCCUCCGCCGAUCCCUAAAAUAGGGGAGGAGGCUAGACAGUGGAAAAAAAUUAAGCC
rnacentral:rRNA from 1 species